UGGGGGAAUAUUGCGCAAUGGGCGAAAGCCUGAUGCAGCGACGCCGCGUGAGGGAUGACGGCCUUCGGGUUGUAAACCUCUUUCAGCAGGGAAGAAGCGAAAGUGACGGUACCUGCAGAAGAAGCGCCGGCUAACUACGUGCCAGCAGCCGCGGUAAUACGUAGGGCGCAAGCGGUUGUCCGGAAUUAUUGGGCGUAAAGAGCUCGUAGGCGGUUAGUCGCGUCUGCUGUGAAACUCGAGGCUCAACCUCGGGCUUGCAGUGGGUACGGGCUGACUAGAGUGCGGUAGGGGUGACUGGAAUUCCUGGUGUAGCGGUGGAAUGCGCAGAUAUCAGGAGGAACACCGAUGGCGAAGGCAGUCACUGGGCCGCAACUGACGCUGAGGAGCGAAAGCAUGGGGAGCGAACAGGAUUAGAUACCCUGGUAGUCCAUGCCGUAAACGUUGGGCACUAGGUGUGGGGUCCAGUUUCCACGGACUUCCGUGCCGCAGCAAACGCAUUAAGUGCCCCGCCUGGGGGAGUACGGCCCGCAAGGCUAAAACUCAAAUGAAUUGAC
rnacentral:rRNA from 1 species